AGCAGCCGCGGUAAUUCCAACUCCAAUAGCGUAUAUUAAAGUUGUUGCAGUUAAAAAGCUCGUAGUUGAAUUUCGGGAUCAGUACGCUGGUCAUGCCUUUGGUAUGCACUGGUGUCACUGGUUUCUCCCUUCUGAAGAUCCGUGAUGUCAUUAAUUUGGUGUCGCGGGGAAUCAGGACUGUUACUUUGAAAAAUUAGAGUGUUUAAAGCAGGCUCACGCUUGAAUACAUUAGCAUGGAAUAAUGAAAUAGGACGUUUGACCCUAUUUUGUUGGUUUCUAGGAUCGACGUAAUGAUUAAUAGGGAUAGUUGGGGCAUUAGUAUUCAAUUGUCAGAGGUGAAAUUCUUGGAUUUAUUGAAGACUAACUACUGCGAAAGCAUUUGCCAAGGAUGUUUUCAUUAAUCAAGAACGAAGUUAGGGGAUCGAAGACGAUCAGAUACCGUCGUAGUCUUAACCAUAAAACUAUG
rnacentral:rRNA from 1 species